AAACUGAGUACCGAAAGAUCGAACGGGGAGAUUCAGCGUCAAUGGCGUUGGCUCGGCGGUGGUCGGCGAUGUCGCCCGGCGGCGAUCCUCGCGGUCGUCUCGAAGCGGCACGUCACCGCUCUGCCGUGUCCGACGAUCGUCGUCGUGCACUUCUCCCCUAGUAGAACGUCGCGACCCGUUGGGUGCCGGUCUACGGCUCGGGCGGUAGCCUGUCACGCGGCCUCACCCGCGCGCGCGUCAGACCCCCGAUCGCCCGACCGGCUGCUCGGCGGUAUCAAUGUUUGGUGGUAUUCGGCCGCAGAUCUCUCGAAGAACUGCGUCGGGCACGUCGCAAGCUCGUCCAGUUCGUCCCUGGUGGUUACGGACCUGGCGCCGUCCCCGGGCCUGGACAGCUGUUGGCAGGCGAUGAGCUCCGACAGGCAAGCGAACGUCCUCGCGACGUUCGCCUCGUGGUACCGGUCCGCGACGCUACUGCUUUGGGUACUCUCAGGACCCGUCUUGAAACACGGACCAAGGAGUCUAACAUGUGCGCAAGUCAUUGGGACUCUGAAUCCUAAAGGCGCAAUGAAAGUGAAGGUCCGCCUCGCGCGGACCGAGGGAGGAUGGGCCGCGUAGCGAAGCGCGGCUCCGCACUCCCGGGGCGUCUCGCUCUCAUCGCGAGAAGAGGCGCACCCAGAGCGUACACGUUGGGACCCGAAAGAUGGUGAACUAUGCCUGGUCAGGACGAAGUCAGGGGAAACCCUGAUGGAGGUCCGUAGCGAUUCUGACGUGCAAAUCGAUCGUCGGAACUGGGUAUAGGGGCGAAAGACUAAUCGAACCAUCUAGUAGCUGGUUCCCUCCGAAGUUUCCCUCAGGAUAGCUGGCACUCGCUCGUUCGUCGCCACGCACGAACGCUUGCGAGUCUCAUCUGGUAAAGCGAAUGAUUAGAGGCCUUGGGGCCGAAACGACCUCAACCUAUUCUCAAACUUUAAAUGGGUGAGAUCUCUGGCUUGCUUGAACGCUGAAGCCACGAGAGAUCACGGAUCAGAGUGCCAAGUGGGCCAAUUUU
rnacentral:rRNA from 1 species